UUGUGUCCUAGAUAGAGAGAAAAGAAAAGAGACAAGAUGAAGAAAAAGAAAAAGAAAAAAAAAUAAAGAAAAAUGAGAAAAAUAAAAAAAUUGUGUGAAUGAUGGAGUCAAGAAGAGGAUUGAAUUAGAGGGUUUAGGGUGUUAUUUGACUAUAAUUUCACUUGUUCCCCAUUUCUCCUCUAUUUCUUUUGGUUUGUAGCUUCUCAUCCAUAUUAUAUCCUCCCUUGUCCUUGGC
rnacentral:lncRNA from 1 species